GCUCGGGCCGGGCUCGCCGCCCCCGGAAUUCCCGGCCGGCCACAAUUUAAGGCGCUGUUCCCGGGCUGGGCUCCCCUCCCCGCUGGCUGACGAGCCACCCUGCAAGCCCAUCCGCGGGGGAGGGGGCUCUUUUUGCAAGGACAAGAGGCGGGCAGGGAAAAGGGUCGCGGGUGAUGAAGAACACCCUCGUCGCCGCGAUCGGCAGCAGGCCAGGGCGCAGGGCCUUCUGCGUGGCGUCCCCGGCCCUUGUUUUCCCGAAACAGCGCCAGGCAACGCUAUUCCAAGGCUUUAAGCCCGCCCUCCAUGUGGGCUCCUCGAAGCCGAUGUGAUGCUUGGUCCUCUGUUUCUGCAAUUCUUCUUUUGCUUUGUUGUCACCACCCAGAAUCUGUUAGGAUUAGGGUAGGCUGUAAAUUAAUGAGAGCCAGUUUGGUGCGGUGGUUAAGGCACCAGGCUAGACACCGGAGCCCCUGAGUUCUAGUCCUGACUUGGGCACAAAGCCAGCUGGGUGACCUUGGGCCAGUCACUCUCUCCCAGCCCUAGGAAGCAGGCAAUGGCAAACCACUUCUGAAAUCUUUCCAAGAAAACUGCAGGGACUAGUCCAGGCAGUCGCCAGGAAUCGGACACGACUGAACAGCAGGAAAAAUAAAAGGCUGUAAAUAUUAUUAUCAAGGAAAUGAAUAAGCCAGAAGAAGAAAGCCGAGAUCGGUGUGAUUUUUCAGCGCCCGUAGCCUCGUGCGUGACACAGCACGCUCUUGGAAAAUUUAGAGAGCUGUGGUCCUAACGUGCAUGGAGUGCAUCCGGUUGGGGAAAGCUGCUCUGCCAGCGCAAGAGCUUUGAAAGGGGAAGAGAGUGUUGAUUGGGGCAUCCCAUCAAAAGGGAGAUUGCUCUUAACUGGAAGCCUAGAAAGAAGGAAGAAGGAGGAAAAAAAGCAGAUUCCUUCUUUUAAAACCUCCGCUAUGCAAUGCAUGUUGUAACAGCCCUGAUGGUUCAGCCUGUUGGUAGAUAGCAUAAAAAAACCAGAUCACUUCUUGGAGUUUGAUUGGGGGACCACAACAGCCGCAGAAUAGCUUUCUAGUUACUUGCAGCCUUAAUCCCCUAAAGCAGCGGCUGGGGAAUUCUAGGAGUUGAAGUCCACACGUCUUAAAGUAGCCAAGAAGGUCUAAGGCCUAAAUGUGAUUCUGUUCAGACAGCAAUUCCUGUCUUCAGACAGAAUGGAAACUGUAGACUUUACAGCCACAGGAUCUAGUUUCUUCCAUCCCUGUGGCCUGCUUUUUGUACCAGCUACCCUGAUCGAGCAUUGUGAAAAACUCGAAGGCUUUCAUUUUCUUCUCUGGCAUUUUGGCCAGUCCAGGCAAAAAUAUUGCCCAACUGCAUUUUUUAACAAUAUCAGUUUUUAUCUCUAACAGCUUUCUCAACUUUAGAUUCCAUGAGUUAAUAACAGUACAACUUCCAUCUACCCCAACCAGCUCAAGAUUAGAUAGAUGUCUAAUAAUCACAAGAAACGGUGAACAUAAUCAUCUUCGCUUUGUGCUUGAUUGAGGUCAUGAAUCACACUAAGCCAGGGUUUAUCACAGUUUGUUGAACAAAUCAUAACACUAAACAUCUGGCCUGAGGAUCUGGUAGUGGGGGUGUGGAGCCUGCAAAAUACCUGUACUGUUAGUGAGAUUGUGCUCUCCCACAGCUUAUGUUUUUUAAUGAUUUUAAUAAUUUUAUUGAUGUUUUAAUGAUCUCUUGUUAUGAUUUUGGGGUGGGGUUUUUUUGUUUGUUUUUGGUGGGUUUUUAACCCUGUAAGCCACUCAGAGUCAUGUAGGUGAGAUAGGCAGCUAUAUAAAUUGAAAAAAAUAAACAAACCGUGAACUGUAACUUACAACCUCAGUGGCUAUGUUCUCAUGUCACACUAAGCUAUCCCAACAAAACUGUUUACUGUUUUGUAUGAACCCAGACAUUGUCCUGACAAACGGGGGCUCACAGCCCCUGAAUCUGCUGGAUCCAUUUAGUAGAUUCCUAACACUUAAGACAGGGUUUCUCAACCAGGGUUCCAUGCACCCUCAGGUUCCAUGAGAGGUCACUAGGGGUUCCCUGGGAGAUCACUAUUUAAAAAAUUAUUUCAAAUUCAGGCAACUUCACAUUAAAGAGGUAAGUUUCAUUCUUCAUUUUUAGUUUUAAGAACACUGUGCAUAGAUACAGGCCUACCCAUGAAAGGAAUCUAAUAAUUUUGUAACUUCUGGCCUAUCUUUGAGCCUGAAUGUGCAGGGGAUUCCCCAAGGCUUGAAAAAUAUUUCAAGGGUUCCUCCAGGGUCAAAAGGUUGAGAAAGGGUGACUUAUGAACUAAUAAUGGUCUAAACUCCAAGAUCUCCAGGGUAUGGGGGGUAUACUUUAAUCCACUGCCUGUAUGUUCUAUUGUGGCUUCUAUUCCAUAAUAGAAAAAUUAUUUACUGUAGGCCUGCCUCUCGCAUGCUCAAGUCUACUGCCUUUUCUCUUUUCAGGUGAUCCAAAAAUGAUCUCUCCAAGGUACAAAACUGUAAUUCAGGGUGAAGCCUCAGAGACUGACUCAGAGGAAGAAAUCAAUUCUUCGGCCUUGUCCCGGGCUCCGUUCUGCAGCCUAUCUGGAGUGCAAGUUGCCGGGGAAGCCUCUGAAACAGAUGAGGACGACGAGGAAGCCAGAAAUCCCGCUGGAUCAAAAACAGAGGCUAAAUUGAUCAGCCCAGAUUUACCUCCCCUGAUUGUUUACAGGAAUGAGGAUUUGGGCUCUCCCACGGCGGUAGAAGAGAAACCUGCCCUUCAUAUCAGACACCGGGGCCGAUAUAGCACCCUGUUGCAGCAGAAGCUGGUGGAGAGUAAUGCCCGCUUGUACUGCGACAUCAACAACACCAUCAAGCAGGUCUACCAGACCGCCAUCAAGGAAAUUGGAAGCAUUACUGGACAGCUGAGCAACUCCCAAAAUGGCAUAAUCAACGCUUCACACAACAUCCGGCUCGUUCUGGAGGACCUGCGGGCCGUGGCUGAUAAGAUAGACAUUAUUACCAGCUGCAGUUUGUUGCCUGAUAUCCAGAUAGAGGUGCCUCCAGGGCACACUUAACAGACGGAUGAACUUUCUGCUUCCUGCACAUGGCUGUUCACUGGGGUUAGAUGGGUUGAGACACACUGGCUGGUUGGGACCCUGGUUGUAAAGCACAGCAGAAAACUGAAACGGAGCUGGUUUUCCCUGGAGAAAUAUUUGCUCCCUACUUGAUAUUUAAAUCAUGGUGGGUCCUCUACAAUCUGUCUCUAGCUCUUACAUAACAAAAGAAAAGUGCUUUUGCUGUUUUGGGGGAGAGGGAUAUCCCAUUUCAAGAGAGAGAGUCUUUUCCCUGCUAAUGUUUCCCACAAUAUCUUCUAAAAGUAGACUUGGUGCCCAAGGUUGGAGGCACUUACCGAGCAUGUAAGCAUAGCCUCACACUGGACUUUGUCCGAAGAUGCUCAACUGCCUUCCUCUAUGCACUUAGGUUAUUGUAUAAUGUAUUAUAUAGGUUAUUCAUUUAGAGGGAUGUAUGAUCUCAGUAGGCUUCAGAAAAAUAAAAUUGUGCAGCUUCAAA